rnacentral:lncRNA from 1 species
CGGGCAAAUUCCUCCAUGCCUUUAUCUAUGCCUGACAACUUGCAGAAGCAAGCCGGGGCUCACUUAAGAUCCAAGUCAGGAAACUCUGAGAGCAAGAGAGUGCCUGGGCUUGGAGGAUAAAUACAACACCACAUAAAAUGGGAAGCAAUUGGUUUUCAGAUGGAGCAAUCUGAUCAGAGAGAAGCCUUAUUUGUAUUAGCACAAAAUGACUCAAGACAACUUCUAAGGUGCAGGUCAAAAAUUCUGCAUGAUGUACUGGGAAUCGAACUCAGGACCUUGCGCUUGCACGGCAGGCACCGGAACCAUUGAGCUAAAUCCCUGGCCUUAUUUGUUUAUUUGUUAAGAGUGGUUAAAUAUUUGUUCCUAUUUUUCCAUUUUCUCAUAUUAAUCCCAUUCCCUUCUAUCUACAAAAUCUUUGUAAAUAGGGAGGAAUGGAGGGGUUGAAGGGAGGGCUGGGCAAGGGUGAAAAAUAAGAACCAAGAGAGACUAUGUAAAGGUGCAAAUUUCCAAUGAUGAAUGUCAUUAUAUUGUAUACCUAAAAUGUACCAAUGAUUAGAAUGAAUAAUUGAUAAUGCAAAAUAGGAAGAAAAGGUCCAAAGGGGUAGGGGUAGUGGGAGGGGCAGGGGAAAGGAAAGAAGGGAAAGGAAAAAUGAUGAGAAGUGGAAAAAAUGGAAAUAAAGUCUUUGUAAAUAGGGAAGGGUGGAGGGCGUGAAGGGAGGGCUAGGAAUGGGGAAAAAAUAAGAACCAAGAUGCAUUAUGUAAACGUACAAUUCCCAAUGAGAAAUGUAAUUGUGUUGUAUACCUACAAUGUACCAAUAAAAGAAUUUAAUAAAAAAAAAGAGUGGUUAAAUAUCAAGAGCUAACCAAUUUUAGCAAUUAAAUAAAUUAUAUA